rnacentral:tRNA from 1 species
CCCGUCAUAGUUUAAAAUAAAAACAUCGACCUGCAAAAUCGAAAAAGGAAAAGAUUUCCUGACGUGU